UACGAGGGGGGCGAGCGUUGUUCGGAAUUAUUGGGCGUAAAGGGUGCGUAGGCGGUUUGGUAAGUCUGAUGUGAAAUCUCUGGGCUCAACUCAUAGUCUGCAUCGGAAACUGCCGGGCUUGAGUGUGGGAGAGGUGAGUGGAAUUCCUGGUGUAGCGGUGAAAUGCGUAGAUAUCAGGAGGAACACCUGUGGCGAAAGCGGCUCACUGGACCAUAACUGACGCUGAUGCACGAAAGCUAGGGGAGCAAACAGG
rnacentral:rRNA from 1 species